rnacentral:tRNA from 1 species
GCGCCUGUAGCUCAGCUGGUUAGAGCACACGACUGAUAAUCGUGAGGUCCCUGGUUCGAGUCCAGGCAGGCGCA